GCGGCUCGCUAAAGAAAAGUGCGGCCUUGCGUCACUCGCUGUACCACUCUGCGGGUCUGCGUCUUAGGAGCAAAAAGCUCUUUUCAUUAGGCGUUGAUUGCGUUGGGGCUUGCUGUUCGCGGCAGCUCCACGGGACGGCAGAUACCUGGUUGAUCCUGCCAGUAGCCAUAUGCUUGUCUCAAAGAUUAAGCCAUGCAUGCCUAAGUGUAAAUAAGCCUACACUGUGAAACUGCGAAUGUCUCAUUAGAUCAGUUAUUGUUAUUUGAUUGUCCCUUACUACAUGGAUAACCGUAGUAAUUCUAGAGCUAAUACAUGCAUCAAGCCCCGACUCACGAAAGGGGUGUAUUUAUUAGAUUCAAAGCCAACCCCUGUCAACAGGUGUCCCUUAUCAGGUCUCCAAGGUUAGAAGCCUCCGGUCGAUAGAACAAUGUAGAUAAGGGAAGUCGGCAAAAUAACUUCGGGAAAAGGAUUGGCUCCUAGGGCUGGGUGUAGGGAGCUCGUGCCUUGCGCUCGGGCUGGAGCUGGGAGCGCUGCGCCUUCGGGUGCGGCGAGCCCGGCACCGGCCUGGGUUAGGGGUGCGAGAGCGUGGCUCUCGGGUCACAUUCCCUGCACAAUGAACAGCUGACUAAGAACUGUAACGGACAAGGGGAAUCCGACUGUUUAAUCAAAACAAAACAUUGUGAUGGCCGGAAAAUGUGAUUUCUGCCCGGUGAAGGAAUUCAACCAAGUGCGGGUAAACGGCGGGAGUAACUACUCUCUUAAGGUAGCCAAAUGCCUCGUCAUCUAAUUAGUGACGCGCAUGAAUGGAUUAACGAGAUUCCCACUGUCCCUAUCUACUAUCUAGAGAAACCACAGCCAAGGGAACGGGCUUGGAAGAUUCAGCGGGGAAAGAAGACCCUAUUGAGCUUGACUCUAGUCCGACAUUGUGAAAUGACUUAAGAGGUGUAAGACCCUAUUGAGCUUGACUCUAGUCCGACAUUGUGAAAUGACUUAAGAGGUGUAGAAUAAGUGGGAGCGAAAGCGACGGUGAAAUACCACUACUUUCAAUGUUAUUUACUUCCGUAGGGUAGAGGCGGGGCCCAAAGCCCCUCCUUCUACCAAACAUAGUGCGAGCGAGCAGUGCAACUAGAGCGAAGGCGCGAAGGACAAACGACAUGUCAAAAGCCAGUGCGAAAGAGCAGUGCCCAAGCCCGUCAAAAAGACAGUACGAAGCAGUGCAAACAGAGCGAGUAACGCAGUGCGUGGCAGAUGCAGCAAGAGGAAGCGUACAACGCGGUCGUAGAGGCCAAGGAGCGGGCGGAGGAGACCCUCCAGCAGGCGACGGCUGCCCUUGCCAUUGCUCACGAGGAGAUCAAAACCAGAGACCUGGCCAAGUGCGUUGU
rnacentral:rRNA from 1 species